AAUUUAGUAGUAUAUAAUUUUAUUUUUCUUUUUUUUUUUUGUCAACUCUUUAAUUUUUUAUUAAAUUAUAUAUAAAAAAUUUCAGAUACUCAACCUAUAGUUUAUCGAAUAUUUACUUUAUUAUUCCUUAGUUUUAACUUUGUUAUUAAUUUAAUAAAAAAAUUAGUGAAAGUGAUAACAAAAAGAGAAAAAUAAAAUGACAUGGUACUAAGUGAGAAAUUAUAAAACGAUAGGAGUGGUAUUUGAAGUUUUUUCUUAUUAUUAUUAGAGUUUUUUUGCAUUUAGUCUUCGCACAAAUUUUUUUUCAUAAAUAAUCUCACGAAAUUUAUAAUUGCAAAACUGGUCAUAUUUCUAUCGCGUAAGCGCCACGUCAGUGGCUGGGUGGCAUAAAUUGAACACGGGUGAAUGAUUUACUGUGUUUAAGAUAAAAUACACACCGGAACUUGUUGAGUAUGUUAAUAAUAUAAAACAAAUGCAUUUUAAAAA
rnacentral:lncRNA from 1 species